rnacentral:rRNA from 1 species
ACGCUGGCGGCAUGCCUAACACAUGCAAGUCGAACGAGACCUUCGGGUCUAGUGGCGCACGGGUGCGUAACACGUGGGAAUUUGCCUCGGGGUAUGGAAUAACUCAGGGAAACUUGAGCUAAUACCAUAUAAUGUCUUCGGACCAAAGAUUUAUCGCCCUGAGAUAAGCCCGCGUAGGAUUAGCUAGUUGGUGGGGUAAAGGCUCACCAAGGCGACGAUCCUUAGCUGGUCUGAGAGGAUGAUCAGCCACACCGGGACUGAGACACGGCCCAGACUCCUACGGGAGGCAGCAGUGGGGAAUAUUGGACAAUGGGCGAAAGCCUGAUCCAGCAAUGCCGCGUGAGUGAUGAAGGCCUUCGGGUUGUAAAGCUCUUUUACUCGGGACGAUAAUGACGGUACCGAGAGAAUAAGCCCCGGCUAACUCCGUG